rnacentral:rRNA from 1 species
GAUGAACGCUGGCGGCGUGCCUAAUACAUGCAAGUCGAGCGAACAGAUGAGGAGCUUGCUCCUCUGACGUUAGCGGCGGACGGGUGAGUAACACGUGGAUAACCUACCUAUAAGACUGGGAUAACUUCGGGAAACCGGAGCUAAUACCGGAUAAUAUAUUGAACCGCACGGUUCAAUAGUGAAAGACGGUUUUGCUGUCACUUAUAGAUGGAUCCGCGCCGCAUUAGCUAGUUGGUAAGGUAACGGCUUACCAAGGCAACGAUGCGUAGCCGACCCGAGAGGGUGAUCGGCCACACUGGAACUAAAACACGGUCCAGACUCCUACGGGAGGCAGCAGUAGGGAAUCUUCCGCAAUGGGCGAAAGCCUGACGGAGCAACGCCGCGUGAGUGAUGAAGGUCUUCGGAUCGUAAAACUCUGUUAUUAGGGAAGAACAAAUGUGUAAGUAACUAUGCACGUCUUGACGGUACCUAAUCAGAAAGCCACGGCUAACUACGUG